rnacentral:lncRNA from 1 species
CUGGAUUGAAAAAAAAGUUGCUAUAAAGGAUGAUAUUGGACAACUGGUGGAAUUUGAAAACGGACUGUAUGUUAGAUCCUAGUAUUGUGUUGCCAUUCAGUUUCCUGACGUUGCUCAUUCUCCUGUCGGAAGGGAAGAGGACGUCCUUGAAAUAUUUGGGGGGAAGGUCAUGAUCUCCGCAACUUACUCUCAAACGAUUCAGCAAAGUAAGAGACAGACUAAUAACGUGUAUAUUAUUAUCUUAAAUAUACAUACAUAUAGUGAGAACGAACUUAAGCAAAUGUGGCAAAAUGUUAAGAAUGGGUGAAUUUAGGUGAUAGGUGUAUGGGAGUUUAUAAUAUUCUCGCGACUUUUCUAUAAGACUAAAAUUUUCAAAAUCAGUUGAAUAGUAAAAACAAAAGCUGACAGGUGGGGCCUUUUAAGCACUCUCUGGGGGUGGGGAGCUGGGGCCCCCUUAUUCUGUCCCUUGUGCUCUCUUGAGCAUCACGGGGGCCCCCACCCCCACCCCAGGCCAGGGUCUUGUUUACUAAACAUCUCAGCGAUGAGCCAUCGCCCCCUGAUUUCAUCAAUUAUAAAUGUGCUUUCUGCUCACCACAGGGCAAUUUGUGACGGACUGUGGCUUGCGGUGCAUGCAGCACAUCCAAGUUCACCGCAGCCAUGAGGAAACUGAGGCACAGAGAACUUCCUCAAAGUCAUUGGGUGUCACUGAGCUUCUGGUCAUGUGAGAUGGGUGACUGAGCACAGGUUUUCGAACAUCCAGACAAGCUGCCUUCUAUAACUCUGGAGCCUUCCCACCGUCAACCACAUAUGGACCCUGGGUCAGAGUUUGCGGAAUGAGUGAGUAAAUAAUAAUUGUGUCAGAAUACAAAUGUAGAUAUUGUCUUAUUUUAGUUAUCGUUAGUCUAAGGGACCAUUCUUGCUACGGUAACAUUGCAUAGAGCCCAGAAAUUCCAGAGUCUGAACUGAGACUUUGUUUGUGACUUAAAGUGAAUUCACGGGAAAGUCAUGGGCCUCCGGGAGUUUUCAUUCAGAAACAGGAGAGAUUAUUCUCACUGAAGAAAAUUUAAAGGAAGGUGGGAGACAAAAAUAAAGCUGUGUUUUGAUGAUACUAGGAAUUGUAC